rfam:Bacillus sp. SG-1 1101501000768, whole genome shotgun sequence.
UACAAGCUGCGUUGUACGUAAUGAUAAUAAAGUUUUAACCUUUAAACUGUAAUAGGGAGUUUUACAUCGAAGCCGGAAUGUCAGGCCGCCAUGGAUAGCGGAAGACAGGAACGUUUCUGCAAACACCCACUUUGAGGAGUGGUGGUUUAAAACUUUCUUAGACGAUUUACGGCAAAUGCGGCCUACAU